AUUGAACGCUGGCGGCAGGCCUAACACAUGCAAGUCGAACGGUAACAGGAAGCAGCUUGCUGCUUUGCUGACGAGUGGCGGACGGGUGUGUAAUGUCUGGGAAACUGCCUGAUGGAGGGGGAUAACUACUGGAAACGGUAGCUAAUACCGCAUAACGUCGCAAGACCAAAGAGGGGGACCUUCGGGCCUCUUGCCAUCGGAUGUGCCCAGAUGGGAUUAGCUAGUAGGUGGGGUAACGGCUCACCUAGGCGACGAUCCCUAGCUGGUCUGAGAGGAUGACCAGCCACACUGGAACUGAGACACGGUCCAGACUCCUACGGGAGGCAGCAGUGGGGAAUAUUGCACAAUGGGCGCAAGCCUGAUGCAGCCAUGCCGCGUGUAUGAAGAAGGCCUUCGGGUUGUAAAGUACUUUCAGCGGGGAGGAAGGGAGUAAAGUUAAUACCUGUGCUCAUUGACGUUACCCGCAGAAGAAGCACCGGCUAACUCCGUG
rnacentral:rRNA from 1 species